UCCCACCUACAAGAUGUACGAGGGGGAGCCCGAUGACGACGUGGGGGAGCUGCUGGACGCCGACUUCGCCCUGGACCCCGACAAGCCCACCAACUUCACCAACCCCGUGUAUGCCACACUCUACAUGGGCGCCCACAACAGCCGCAACUCCCUGGCCAGCACGGACGAGAAGCGGGAGCUGCUGGCGCGGGGGGACGAUGACCUGGCGGACCCCCUGGCAUAGGGGCCGGACGGGGGGCGAGGGGCUGCGGGCCCAGCACAGCCCCCGCCACAGGGGCGGGCGGGGGGGGGGGCCGGAGGGGCCACGAGCCGCUGUAUAAAUGUACAAAUGAAGGAUUAUUACUUUUC